AUAUGCCCUUUAAAGCAAGUAGAGCACAUUACUCAUCACUCAAUCUCCAGGACCAAGUUAAUGUUCUGUAUAUAGUAAUGUCGACAGCAACAUCUCCCCCAGGUGUAACAACUAAACGUGUCUCCAGACAUUGGCAAAUAUCCUUGGGCCAUGGAGAAAACAUCACCUUCAAUUGAAAACCACUGGGCCACUCUAAUGCCUUCAAGGGACAGAUCCCAGGUCUAAACCCUAGCCAAAACCCCUUGUGUUAGAGGAGCUCACCCUUUACUGCUGAUGAAAUCUCCAUGAUGAAGUGCUUUCCUGGUGACACCCAGAGAUCGUUUGCUAUGUGAAUGCUUUUCUUGCUCAAAUUUCAACAAACAUGAUUGUACUAAAUCGCUAACACCUGGAAUUUCAAAGACAACAGUGGAAAGGAAAUGAGACUUGGAAUCAAAAGACUUCAGUUUCAAUCUAAAGUCCCUGAAUGUGUAAACUAUUGUGAUUUUUCUUAGCUACAGUCCUCUCACUUAUAAAAUGUUUACUGUCCUCAGUAGUACAUUGUGAAAUAUCUUGUGAGAAGGCUUUAUAUAUAGUGAGGAACUAUCCAAGCAUUAAUAAUUUUUUUCAUCUCUAGCUACAUAUCCCUUGAUCAUAAAGAAGAUACUACAAAAUAUUCAAAGAUAAAAUAUUAACACUCACCAGCAAAACAAAAUAUAGAAUGAUCUAGAGAGGUUUGGGGCAUAUACAGAAGAAAAAUAAUCAGAAAAUCCCAACAAACUGUCUAAAUGACAUACAGUUUCUCAUUCUUAAUGCUAUUGAUAUUUUAGACAUGAUAAUUUAUUGUCAUAGGGGAAGGGGGAGAUUGUCCUGUGCAUUGUAUGAUGUUUAGUCAUAUUCCUUUUUAAGUGGCCCAACAGAUUUCCACUUGCUUCAAAGUUAGUCAUUUCCACUGUGAUUAGAAUAUAUAUAUA